rnacentral:antisense_RNA from 1 species
UUUUGCCUUAGGUUUAUUGAUCAAAAUGCCGUUACCCACGGCAUGCAAUAAGUGGGUUUUACCCAAACCGGUAGCGCCGUA